rnacentral:tRNA from 1 species
AUAACUUUACAAAAAAGAUGGUAAAAAUUCGAACUCAGGAGCGUCGCCCUUUCACGGCGGUAACCGGGGUUCGAAUCCCCGUAGGGACGCCA